rnacentral:lncRNA from 1 species
GUAGAGGCAAGAGGACCAUGAGCUAGAAGGUAGCCUGGGCUACAAAGCGAGACUCAAUCACAGAACACAAAUGGCCUCUUUUGUUCUGAAUGUCACCUCAGUCUUUCAUCUGCACCCUUCCCUCCGUGUCACAACCAUACACACUCAUGCAUCAUACACAACACUGCUCAUCCCGACAUGGGGCAUGAGUAACUUUUAAUGAUUUCCUAUACGAAACCCUAUUAUAUGUCCCUAUAUAAUCCUAUUAAUGUUUGUCCCUAGUACAUCUAUCAGUCUAGCCAGCUUCUUCACUUUGGAGUAAUAUAGGGAAAGCUAACCGUGCUCCCAUUCAGCAAUGGUUCAGUUGGGCAGCUGUAGCUCUGCGCUCAGGCUCUGCCCUUAGGUUAAACGUCCCUAGAGCUCAGUUGUAUGAGUGGUGAAGGUUUUACCAGCUGCUUUGCCUUCUGGUCCCAGUGUUCAUCUUUCUACUGUCUUACAAGAGGUGCAUUUGGGAACAGACUUGUUGAUACUCCAAAAGAGAAUGAAGAGACAUGGAAGGGAGUGAUGGAAAUGCCACGAAACAGCCCAUUCCUCUUGGUGUGUGAGAGUUCAUCAGUUUUGCAGAAGUCAGGGCACUGUGUAGAAGACUAGGUAUCAGCUGUCUUUGCAUAGUUCACAAGAGAGCACAGUAGCUGUGCUGCCCACAGCACUGAAGCCAUGCCAGUACUGUGAGGACUCUCUUGGAUGGUAUGUCAUGGAUAUGAAACAGAGCUCCCAUCUCCCUAGGUCUGUGUGAAGACAUGGUUCCCCAGUUGGUGACACUCCUGAUAAACGAUUGUAUCAUAAAGGUUCUAACCUCUACCACACAUUCACGUUACCAUGAUAGUCUGUCAGGUGCCAAGCAGUGAAGGCAGCCAAUAAUGGAUUGAAACCAUAAUCCAAAUAAGUCCCUCUUGAAAUGGAUUUGCUCAGGUCCACCAAUAGAAGGUGUAUGGGAGGAGCAGAGGCCACCAGGAGAAGGCUGCCAGGAGUGCCCUCACACAGAGGCUCCAUUAUCUAGGUGCCCAGAGACAGCAAGGGGAGGACUGAAAAGGACAGACAGUCCCAGAUUGUACCACUAGUGCCCGAGCUUGGGUGCUGACUGUGUUAUAAACUGAAGCUGUGGGGCGUGAUGAGGGUUUGCACAACAGGUGAGGGAAGUCCCACAAAGCAAAACUACUGCCGGGAUUGGCAAAGAAGUCUUAGGUUUAGGCUGUUGACAGAUUGGUGGUAGACCUAUGUUUCCCUAGGAAAGUUGACCAUUUCGUGUUCAUUGGUAGAGUUCCAUUAUAUAGCACUGUCAUGUGUACAUUUCAUCAUAGGCGAAAUAUCUUAAAAUCAUUUACCUGAAUUGGACACUUUAUUAUUCACUAGAUUGAGGCAGGAAAGGAAUAUACUCUACCCUCCUUUUCAUUGUAGAUACGGAAACUGAGGCACAGAGAAUAAGUCUCCUACCUAGUCUUGGCUACUCAGGAGAGCCAGUAUUCUACUCCUGAGCCUGAAACAUCUGGCUUGGGACUGACUCAUGAGCAUAUACAUAUCUACAUAUAUGUUUCUGUAAUUAUGUGUAUGUAACUAGCUAGAGAAAAAUAGAUGGUUGUGUAGAAAAAGAGUAAUUUUUAAAAGAGGAAUUUGUUGCGGUACUACUUUGUCUUUCUCAUUUUCUCUUGAUAUUUUCUGAGGGUCUGUCUACCUCUGGUUUUUAGACGUGUAUGACACAUAGCCCUCUUGGCGUCCCCCUGACCUUUGAUUUCUAGAGAUGUUGAAGGUUAAAACUACUUUCAUAAGAUACUAUAGCCUGCUCUUUUCACUCUGUUGUCAUCUGUGCUGCCCCAGGGAACCACAACAGACACAACAGGGCUGACUCACAUGGGAACUCACAGGGACUGGCAGCACCACAUAUUCAAGUCAGAUGGGGUCCCAGCACUGCUAGGGGAAGGAGACACCCACUCUUACCCCUUACCAAGAAGCUACCUGCAGUAGAAACUCCUCGGCAAAGGAAAAGCUUGCUGCAGUGGCAUCUCCCUGAGUAUCUGAACCACCCUUCAGGGCAGGCUCUCUGCCUGGGAGGAGCUGCCCAGCAUGAAAUAACCCAGGUGUAGUGUGCAGAACUUUGCUUUGAGUUCGUUUGAAUGUGUCUUGGUUUAGUUAAUGAGUUUGUUUGUUGUUUGUUUGUUGGUUUUAGAGGCCAUGAGUUGGGUGGGUGUUGAAAUGGGGAGGAGUUGGGGGAGGGGAGACCAUAAUCUUGUAUGUUGUAUGAAAAAAGCUUUAACAUUUUUUUCUUGGUUUUAAUUUUAGUACAUUGAAUAUUGAUAGAAAUAAUAAAGUCUUUUAGAUCUAAAGGAACUCCUUUCUUUUGAGACCAAAAAAUAGAGAGCUCCUGUUUUUGCACACUGUUUCUUUUCAGGAGUUUUAAUGACAUCUGGCAACUAUCCACACUUUUAAAAAUAUGCAUCUUGUUCUAUAUUUUUAUAAUUUUCAAUUGUUCUUUGAUAACAUUUGUAUAAAAUUUGUUUUUAAUAAAUUCAUUUUAGACUG